AUGUUAAGAGCAGUAGGAGCAGUUUUGGUGCUUAUGAGGUGACCUGGAUGGGCUCUUGGAUGGCUCCUGCCUGGGGGCUGAUCACCAGAGAGACCAAGCCAGUUAGAAGCUUGGAAUUUUGAGCUCAACACUGCCUCCUCCAGAGAGUGGCAAGGGACUGGAAAUGGGAGUUAAUAAUUGAUCAUGCCCACUCAAGGAAGCCUCUAUAAAAUCCCAGUAGUAAGGGUAUCAGAGACUUCCAGGCUGGGCACACAGCCAUACCAGGAGGGAGAUGCUCCUGAACUCCUUGAGAACAGAAACUCGGCACUCAGGACCCUCCCAGACCUCACCCUAGAGCUACCCACUGAAACAUUACUCACUCAAGGGCAAAGCUAUUCAUCUGUUUUGUUUAACCUCAUACUUGGUUCUGAACAGAGACACUCAAUAAAAAUUUGUGGAAUAAAUCCUGUCUUUUCUUACCCUGCAGAAGCUUGAGUUUGGUAAGUUGCUGUUAUUCAGUUGCUCAGUCAUGUCCGACUCUUUGUGACCCCAUGGACUGCAGCACGCCAGGUUUCCCUGUUUUUCACCAUCUCCCAGAGCUUGCUCAAACUCAUGUCCAUUGAAUCAGUGAUGCCAUCCAACCAUCUCAUCCUCUGUUGUCCCCUUCUCCUCCUGGUAAGUUAUGUUUAUGAUAACCAUGGGACUGCUGGUUAUGUCCUCUUGUCUACUUUUAGCAAAUCAAAGCUGAUUACAUGCAGCCAUACCUCAGUUAGUUUCAAAUAGAGUAAGAAGCAGCCACUCUCAAAGCUCAUGUAAGACAUCUAAUAUUUGAGAAAUUUAUUGGCAUUGGCAACCACCCUCUCAUUAAGUUCUGUUCUAAACUAAGCCAGAUCAUCAGGAAAUAAUACAAAAAUCACAUCUACUGAAUCCCUGUGAGAAUUUGGUUUAUUUAGUUAUGAUUAACCCUUGGCCUCUGUUUUAUCACAGGAUCACUCAAUGGGGCAAGAGAAAAUACAUGUACUAGAUAUUAUUCAUCUUACCAUACUAACAGUACA
ensembl:lncRNA